UACGUAGGGGGCAAGCGUUGUCCGGAUUUAUUGGGCGUAAAGAGCGUGUAGGCGGUUCGGUAGGUCCGUUGUGAAAACUCGAGGCUCAACCUCGAGACGCCGAUGGAAACCCUCGAACUAGAGUCCGGAAGAGGAGAGUGGAAUUCCCGGUGUAGCGGUGAAAUGCGCAGAUAUCGGGAAGAACACCCGUGGCUAAGGCGGCUCUCUAGUACGGUACUGACGCUGAGACGCGAAAGCGUGGGGAGCGAACAGG
rnacentral:rRNA from 1 species